rnacentral:rRNA from 1 species
UACGUAGGCAGCAAGCGUUGUUCGGAGUUACUGGGCGUAAAGAGUAUGUAGGCGGUUGGGUAAGUUUGGUGUGAAAUCUCCCGGCUUAACUGGGAGGGUGCGCUAAAGACUGCCUGGCUCGAGUGUGGGAGAGGAAAGCGGAAUUCCUGGUGUAGCGGUGAAAUGCGUAGAUAUCAGGAGGAACACCUGCGGUGUGAGACGGCUUUCGUGGACCAUAACUGACGCUGAGAUACGAAAGCGUGGGUAGCAACAGG